AGUAGGCCUCGGUUGAAUCACUCAUCAUCCAUCCUCCCUGUGACUCAGAAAUGCCACUGGCCCAGCCCUGUCCCUGUGUACCCUCAAUACCUCUAGGCUCUGCUCUGAGGCUUGGCAGGACAAGACAGAGGAUGGCUGUCUUCAGAUGGUACUCAGGACCCUCAAGGGAGGCCCCUGACAUAACCAGAGCCUCCUGCUGCACCCUUGCCCUGGCUCCUGGGCCCCAGGGAAUGCUUCUUUAACAGUGAGCCUCCCUUCUGAUCAAAGCCAGCCCCUCAUGGUUGUAGGGUGGGGCAGGAGGGAACUGGAGCUGUGCUUGCCCUGGAGACUGGCUUGUCAUCAGACUCAGGACCAUCCAGCAUUGAGGUGAGUUCCUCAAGUUCAGAGUUGAAGCCCUCCUAUCACUCCCCUCAGCAGUGGGCACAGUGAACACCAGACUGGGAGUCAGAGGCCUGGGUUCAUGUCCUGGCCCCCUUUCUCACCAACUGGCUUCACGAUGGGAUCCUUACAGGGAGGUGCUUAGCAGGUGAUUCCCACUGACAGGCUGCUGCCCUCUGGGCUCUGUUGCUUCCUUGUUCUGGGGCCUCAGGCCAGGCACCUCACCUCCCCAAGCCUCUGUUUUUGCACCCAGUGCCUGCUGGGAAGCCUUCUCAGGAUAACAGAUGUCACCUUCCCUGGAAGCUCUUCCCUACCCAUGCCACGCUGGGCUUAGAGCCACAGCCAAAGGUCACUGCAGCCCCUGGCUCCUCUCCAGGCAGGGCCCUGAGCACAUCCCUCUCUUGGAGCUGGUUUAUGGCCGAGAUGACUGCUCACGGCCAUCUCCCCAGCACAGCACAGAGCCUGGCGUGGAUGGAGUAGGCGAGCGAGAAUACUAGUCAAGAGCAGGGAUCAGACCCCGGUUCCAAUCCUAGUCUUGGCAAGUCUGAGCUGUGUGACCCUAGGUGAGGGUCUUCCCCUCCUAUGCCUCUGCGUGUUAAGUGGGAGCAGCAGCAGAGCCUAACCCUGUCGAGCUCUGGAGGCUGCAGGGGCUAAUGCGUAGCAAGUGCUUAGUGACAGUGCCUGAAACCUCCCAGGUCCUUGAGCGAUGUUAGCUGGCUCACCACAGGUGCCUCCCAGUUCCUCUCCCAAGGCUCUUCAUGCUGCCCCUGCCCCCAGGCUUCCCUCACACAUCAAGGGCCUCAGCUCCCACUCCCUUGCCCUGCCUUGGAGGAAGCUGGGUCUGUGCUGGGCAUCCUGCCAUUGUGGGUGCAGAACAAACUGCGGCCUUGUCUCAGCCCCAGCUGCCAGGGGGGCCCUCCAGCCCUCCCCAGGGGGCCCUGGGCACACAAGGACUCGUGCUCCCAAAUCAGCUCAGGGAUGCCAGAAACUCCACCAGCACACUGUUCCUGUUCAGUUGUAAAUACUUCUGGGAAAUAAUAUAAAAUUCAGUGGAGAGCUGUGGAAGGUUUUGAGCAGGCAAGGAGCAUGCAACAAUAACUUUUUUUUUUUUUUAAUAAUGGCCCUGCAGUUUAGUCUGAAUCCUACAUGGAGGAGAAAUUGAAGGGGCUUGAGACAGGAGACUGAGAGACCAGGGAAGAACUAUUGCAGUCCACCGAGCAGAUGACAGCUGGGACAGUGUCUUGGGCAUAGUGCAGAGUACCAUCAGUUGUACUCAUCUGUGGAAACAGGUUAGCCCCAAACCUUAUGGCUUAGAGCAAUGAACAUAAACUAUCUCCAUUUUCUGUGGAUCAGACAUUUGGGAGCGGCUGAGUGGAAUGGUUCUGGCUUGGGGUCUCUCAUGAAGUUGUAGUCAAAUGUCAGCCGGGGCUGCAGUUGUACAAAGGCUUGACGGGGCUGGCAGGUCUCCUUCCAAGCUGAGUCAUCCACAUGGCUGAUAGCAGGAGGCUGCAGCUCCUUGCAGUGUGGGCCUUUCCACAGGGCCCCUUGAGUGUCCUCAUGACAUGGCAGUUGGUUUCCACCAGAGUGAGUGAUUCAAGAGAGCAAGAAGUCACAAUGGGCUUUUGGAUCCCGUUUCACAAGUCACACUCCUUUCGCUAAUAUCUUCAUUAUUUAAUUUGAAUGAUUGUCACUUCUCUAAUGUCUUAUUGGUCCCAAGUCAACCCUAUUCAGUGUGUGUCCUCCCACCUUGACGACCAAGGGCAGGAACCAGGAGAGGAUGGUGAGGUCACCCCUGAGGCUGGCUACCAUAUCAGUGAAUGCUUGUGGAGUCAGUGAGGAGGAUGCAGUCUGGGGCCGUGGGGAAGUAGUUCAGGAGCUUCCUGCUCCAGGGGGCAUCUUGUCAGCCACACUUCUGCAUCUCUCCUGACACAGCACCAUAGAUUCCUGGCCCAUAGCAGGCACUUGGCAAGUGCUUCUCUCAGUGAGGGCUGGAGGUUCCUCUCUCUGCUCCCAACUGCAGACAAGGAGAAGACCUGGGCUCCUCGGUCUGGUAGGUGAAGCUGUGGAUCGCUAGUGUUUCCAUGCCCACUCCCCAUGACCCUUCCAGCUCUAUCAGCCACCUCUGCUCCCUGGGAGUCUGAUGGAACCUUCCUAUAUCUAGGCCUCCUGCCCCCUCCUUACUGCCAUGAUACUCAAGUGCCCCUCCUGCCUUCUCUAAACACUGCCAGGAUCCCAGCUGGAUAGAUUCUGGCCCAGCAGUACCUGCUACCUGGGCUGGGCACUUCUCUUUCUAUGUUUUUCUUUUUUAGGGCUUCACCUGUGGCAUAUGGAAGUUCCCAGGCUAUGGUCGAAUCAGAGCUGUGGCUGCCAGCCUACACCACAUCUACAGCCAUGCAGGAUCCAAGCCAUGUCUGUGAUCUACACCAUAGCUCAUGGCAAUGCUGGAUCCUUAACCCACUUAAGCGGGGCCAGGGAUCAAAACCACAACUUCAUAGAUACUAGUCAGGUUCGUUACUGCUGGGCCACAAUGGGAACUUCUCUCUUUCUAUGUUUAAACUUUUUUUUUUUGGUGAAAGAAGCCUUGUCUCUGCUUCUCAUGCUGGAGCCCAAUAUCAAAUAAGCCAAAGCUGAUUUGCCCCAGAUGAACCAGGAGCCCCUCACACCUCUUCCAAGUUUUCCAAGAACCCUGUUUUGAAAACCAUAGAUUUAGCUCAUUCCUUAUACAGAAAUCCCCCAAAGGAAGAACCAAGAUGAUGGUCUUAGUCCAUUUGGGCUGCUAUGACAAAAUGCCACAGACUAGGUGUCUUAUAAACCAUGGAAAAUUACUGCUCACCAUUCUGGAGGCUGGAAGUCUGAGAUCAGGGUGCCAGCAUGGUCUGGCAAGGGUCCCCUUGUGGGUUACAGGCUUCAUUGAUAAGGGCACUAAUCCCAUUCAUGAGGGCUCCAUUCUUGUGAUCUCAUCACCUAAUUACCUCCCAAAGUACCACCUCCGAAUGCUAUCACCUUGGUCAUUAAGUUUUCAACAUAGGAAGUUUAGGGAGACACAAUAUUCAGACCAUAGCAACCACCCUGCAUAAAGAGGGGGCAGCAGGGCUGGGUCUUCGUCUCCUAAUUCUUGGGGUUCUGCCGUUCCCUACCCCAUCCCCCACUCUGAUGUGAAGAACAGAGCCAGGGUGUAAAGUUUACAGGGAUAUGUGGGGUCCAGUGUAGGUUCACAGGAAGUAUCUGCUGGGUACCCCGACCCCCCAGGUCAGCACAUUUGUUUCUUCAUGGGAAAGGAAUUCAGAUAUUUUGCCAAAAGUAGUCUAGAAAGAUUUGUCUCAAGAGUCUUUUAUGUGUGUCUGAAGCUUUCCGCUUUUGAGUGCUCUUGGCUCCUAUAAGAGAGAGUAGGAUGGUGUGGUAGGAUGGAGAAGCAAGCACUAAGAUGGAAUUAAAAGCACAAAGAUUUUAUGAGGGCAAACAUAUGUGGAAAUGGGAAGGGGGCUGGGAGAGCUGUCAGAUCAUUAUCCAAGUGGAGGAGAACGAGGGGAGGAAGUUUGGGGGAACCAUUCUUGACCUCACAGCUGUCUAAGGAAGGUUCGGCAAGGAAGCCAAUCAGAAGAGUCCCAGGUCUGCCAGGACUGGCCUCCCCCAGGAUCCCUGCUAUGCUGGGGCAUUAGCCAGAUAGAGUCUGAUGCAGUCUAGUCUCAGCACAGAUGUGGUGAUGGAUUUCAGGGUGUCACAGUGGGGCCCUUGUUCUGUAUUGCUUCCUGUAAUUGGACGUCUGUGGGCCCUGUUCUUACGGCCACCACGGAUGGCAUUGUGACUCCCAUUUUACAGAGUAGGCAGAAUUCCAGAACAACUCUGGGCUCUGCCUGAAGUCACAAAGCAGGAGAGUCCACACUCCUUAACUCUCAUCCCAAGCUUCUUCCUAAGUGACAUGGGGCCUCAGUCCAGUGGUUAUUAGGCUGAUGGAUUCCAGGUAGGUGAGCAGGGCUGUGAGCUGUGAGCUUCCAGGUAGGUGAGCAGGACAAGAGCGACUUGUCCCUAAAUUUGUAACAAGAUCACCAUCCCAACAGAGGUCACUCAGGGAAACCCUCAGGGCCACCGGGUGUGUCUACUUCUCUGGCAGGGUAGUAUGAAUGUCACAAAAACUUCUCACACCAAAUUUAAUUGACUUUAAUUCAUCAUAAAGAAAGGAAGUGAUCCCAUACUUUUGGAAGAAGAGAAUUAAAGGUUCAUGGAAUCAGAGGCUUGGAAUCCUGCUCCAAGUUAAGGAUUAGGCUGUGAGGGCCAUUUCAUUCUCCCCUCUUAUGGGAGUGCACUGAAAUUCCAACAUGACCUCUUUUCCUAGGUUGUCUGACUUAAGGACCACUCUACUCUGAAUCUGGGGGAACAGAGUAGACUGUUUGGGAAAAGGACUUGGACCCUCUCAAGAGCUCUCAACCUCAACUUCUAUUUAAGAUGUGAAAUCCUGGUCCUUCCACACCCAAUUCUGAAUAUUAAAAGCAUAAUUUAAAAGGAUCCAAAAUUUUCUCAACUACAAAAAAAAAAAAAUGCAAAGAAAGAUGGAAAUAGGAGUUCCCAUCAUGGCUCAGUGGGUAAUGAACCUGACCAGUAACCAUGAGGUUAUGGGUUCGAUCCCUGGCUUUGCUCAGCGGGUCAAGGAUCCAGCGUUGCCAUGAGCUGUGGUGUAGGUCACAGACUUGGCUUGGAUCCCGCAUUGCUGUGGCUGUGGCAUAGGCUGGCAGCUACAGCUCUGAUAUGACCCCUAGCCUGGGAACCUCCAUAUGCCACAGGUACAGCCCUAAAAAGACAAA
rnacentral:lncRNA from 1 species